GAUGAACGCUGGCGGCGUGCCUAACACAUGCAAGUCGAGCGAGGGUUUGCUCAGUAUUGAGUAUUCUAAGUCUAGAAUGUUCAAUUCUGAGCAAAACCAAGCGGCGGACGGGUGAGUAACGCGUGGGUAACCUGCCCUAUACACAUGGAUAACAUACUGAAAAGUUUACUAAUACAUGAUAAUAUAUAUUUGUGGCAUCGCAGAUAUAUCAAAGUGUUAGCGGUAUAGGAUGGACCCGCGUCUGAUUAGCUAGUUGGUGAGAUAACUGCCCACCAAGGCGACGAUCAGUAGCCGACCUGAGAGGGUGAUCGGCCACAUUGGAACUGAGACACGGUCCAAACUCCUACGGGAGGCAGCAGUGGGGAAUAUUGCACAAUGGGCGAAAGCCUGAUGCAGCAACGCCGCGUGAACGAUGAAGGUCUUCGGAUCGUAAAGUUCUGUUGCAGGGGAAGAUAAUGACGGUACC
rnacentral:rRNA from 1 species